AGAAUUUACAAAGAAAGGAGAAAGAAAACCUGAGAUCGUAGAAAAGAAAGCAGUUACUUUGAUUGACGAAGAAAUUCCUGAUGACGUACAACAUGAUGAACAUGAAGUUAAAACAGAUGAUCUUGUUAAAGAUAGCGAAAAAUUAUUUCCAAAAGAAGUAUGGAAUGAACCUAUUCCGAGAUAUGAUGAAGAGGAAGACACGCCGAUUUUGCAUAUAAACAAGAAAAGAAAAUUGUGUUAAUCUCAAUACUAAAAGACAGAGAAAUAUUAUUUACGUUAACAAAACGUUAUAUUUUUAAUUCGAGUUCAAUCUUCUACUAGCGUCGUAAUUCGGGCACCUCCACCAAAAUAAAUCUACAAAAAAGUCGUGGAUACAUCUAUUUAUGAUUAUGUUAAUUAAUUUUAAUAAAUGUAUCUUUGUUAAUCUCAACAUAGUAAAGAUUAAAAAAAA